rnacentral:rRNA from 1 species
GGUGUUGCAUGGCUGUCGUCAGCUCGUGUCGUGAGAUGUUGGGUUAAGUCCCGCAACGAGCGCAACCCUCAUCCUUAGUUACCAUCAGGUAAUGCUGGGGACUUUAAGGAAACUGCCAGUGAUAAACUGGAGGAAGGCGGGGAUGAUGUCAAGUCAUCAUGGCCCUUAUGGAGUGGGCUACACACGUGCUACAAUGGUGGCUACAAUGGGCUGCAAAGUCGCGAGGCUAAGCUAAUCCCUUAAAAGCCAUCUCAGUUCGGAUUGUACUCUGCAACUCGAGUGCAUGAAGUUGGAAUCGCUAGUAAUCGUGGAUCAGCACGCCACGGUGAAUACGUUCCCGGGUCUUGUACACAC